AUAUUGGUCAAUGGGCUUACGCCUGAACCAGCCAAGUCGCGUGAGGGAAGACUGCCCUAUGGGUUGUAAACCUCUUUUGUCAGGGAGCAACGCCGGCUACGUGUAGCCGGACUGAGAGUACCUGAAGAAAAAGCAUCGGCUAACUCCGUGCCAGCAGCCGCGGUAAUACGGAGGAUGCGAGCGUUAUCCGGACUUAUUGGGUUUAAAGGGUGCGUAGGCGGGCUUUUAAGUCAGCGGUAAAAAUUCGGGGCUCAACCCCGUCCGGCCGUUGAAACUGGGGGCCUUGAGUGGGCGAGAAGAAGGCGGAAUGCGUGGUGUAGCGGUGAAAUGCAUAGAUAUCACGCAGAACCCCGAUUGCGAAGGCAGCCUUCCGGCGCCCUACUGACGCUGAGGCACGAAAGUGCGGGGAUCG
rnacentral:rRNA from 1 species